UUUGACCUCGGAUCAGGUAGGAAUACCCGCUGAACUUAAGCAU
rnacentral:rRNA from 13 species